GAGCCAGUGGAUGAAGGGAGUGGGCCGUACCCCAACAUCUAUUUGGGCUGGGCUCAGGAAAGUCCCCGGGCCACGUGCUGCAGAGAUGCAGUCUUAGAAACGAGAUGGGCUUCGAGGGUUUGGAGCUCCCGUCGCCACCGCGCGACGAGGCUGAGACGCGUGCGGAGCCUCCGUGAGGCUGAAUCGGCCGGUGCUCACAGUUAUUCACUUGGCCCAUUGUUCUAACAGAACGGGGCUUACGCUCCACUGGCU
rnacentral:RNase_MRP_RNA from 1 species